AUUGAACGCUGGCGGCAUGCCUUACACAUGCAAGUCGAACGGUAACAGGUUAAGCUGACGAGUGGCGAACGGGUGAGUAAUGUAUCGGAACGUGCCCAGUCGUGGGGGAUAACUACUCGAAAGAGUGGCUAAUACCGCAUACGACCUGAGGGUGAAAGCGGGGGACCGUAAGGCCUCGCGCGAUUGGAGCGGCCGAUAUCAGAUUAGCUAGUUGGUGGGGUAAAAGCCCACCAAGGCGACGAUCUGUAGCAGGCCUGAGAGGACGACCAGCCACACGGGGACUGAGAAAAGGGCCAGACUCGUACGGGAGGCAGCAGUGGGGAAUUUUAGACAAUGGACGCAAGUCUGAUCCAGCCAUGCCGCGUGCGGGAAGAAGGCCUUCGGGUUGUAAACCGCUUUUGUCAGGGAAGAAACGAGUUUCUCUAAUACAGAGACUUAAUGACGGUACCUGAAGAAUAAGCACCGGCUAACUACGUGCCAGCCGCCGCGGUAAUAC
rnacentral:rRNA from 1 species